rnacentral:rRNA from 1 species
GACGAACGCUGGCGGCGUGCCUAAUACAUGCAAGUCGAACGCACAGUUUAUACCGUAGCUUGCUACACCAUAGACUGUGAGUUGCGAACGGGUGAGUAACGCGUAGGUAACCUGCCUGGUAGCGGGUGAUAACUAUUGGAAACGAUAGCUAAUACCGCAUAAUAUUGAUUAUUGCAUGAUAAUUGAUUGAAAUAUGCUAUUGCAUCACUACCAGAUGGACCUGCGUUGUAUUAGCUAGUAGGUGAGGUAACGGCUCACCUAGGCGAGGAUACAUAGCCGACCUGGGAGGGUGGUCGGCCACACUGGGAAUGGGACACGGCCCAGACUCCUACGGGAGGCAGCAGUAGGGAAUCUUCGGCAAUGGACGAAAGUCUGACCGAGCAAAGCCGCGUGAGUGAAGAAGGGUUUCGGAUCGUAAAGCUCUGUUGUAAGAGAAGAAAGGGUGUGAGAGUGGAAAGUUCACACUGUGACGGUAUCUUACCAGAAAGGGACGGCUAACUACGUG